AGAGUUUGAUCAUGGCUCAGGACGAACGCUGGCGGCGUGCUUAACACAUGCAAGUCGAACGGAAAGGCCCUUCGGGGUACUCGAGUGGCGAACGGGUGAGUAACACGUGGGUGAUCUGCCCUGCACUUUGGGAUAAGCCUGGGAAACUGGGUCUAAUACCGAAUACACCUCACUGGCUGCAUGGUUGGCGGGGGAAAGCUUUUGCGGUGUGGGAUGGGCCCGCGGCCUAUCAGCUUGUUGGUGAGGUUACGGCUCACCAAGGCGACGACGGGUAGCCGGCCUGAGAGGGUGACCGGCCACACUGGGACUGGGAUACGGCCCAGACUCCUACGGGAGGCAGCAGUGGGGAAUAUUGCACAAUGGGCGCAAGCCUGAUGCAGCGACGCCGCGUGGGGGAUGACGGCCUUCGGGUUGUAAACUCCUUUCAGCACAGACGAAGCGCAAGUGACGGUAUGUGCAGAAGAAGGACCGGCCAACUACGUGCCAGCAGCCGCGGUAAUACGUAGGGUCCGAGCGUUGUCCGGAAUUACUGGGCGUAAAGAGCUCGUAGGUGGUUUGUCGCGUUGUUCGUGAAAACUCACAGCUUAACUGUGGGCGUGCGGGCGAUACGGGCAGACUUGAGUACUGCAGGGGAGACUGGAAUUCCUGGUGUAGCGGUGGAAUGCGCAGAUAUCAGGAGGAACACCGGUGGCGAAGGCGGGUCUCUGGGCAGUAACUGACGCUGAGGAGCGAAAGCGUGGGGAGCGAACAGGAUUAGAUACCCUGGUAGUCC
rnacentral:rRNA from 1 species